AUAGUUUAGAAUGCUUUUCAAAUAUUCCUUACAUUUUUUGAUAUUUAUAGAAAAAAUCUUAUGAAUUCUGAAACUGAU